rnacentral:sRNA from 1 species
AUUAUACCUACAACCAUCUCUUACAAUUCUAAUCGCUGAUCUCCUAAUAUCUACGGAUAUCAGUGAGCAUUAUAUAGGCGACUACCACGCCCUACGGCCGCCUAUGGUGCCGUGUGCUAUGUCCCUCCUCAUUAAUUCUGGCGUGUUCUGUGUUCUUCUAUCGCCACAUAGCUAUUUCCUAAUAUAGAUAUCUCCGUUGCGCCUAUUACAUUGAUAUAUUCAAUUCAAUCUCAAAGUGAGCUUCAUCUGAGAAGCUCACACAAGAGAAAUCUUCAUCAGCUCAAUUUCUAUGUUGAAUAUCAAAAGUCCUUUGAAUUUCCUUGUGUAUAGGCUUUAAAUAGGGCUUCUUUUGUGAUUUAAAGACAUAUCAUUCAUUCUUUUGAAGAUACUGUCUUGCUGUAUUUCGGCAAAUAUAGAAGCCAGAUUUUGAGGAUGUGAGAAAGCUGGCUAGAAAAUGAAAGAGAUUCUUCUCUACAGAGAGAAUAAGAUGACAUUGAUCACAGACAGAGAGCUUAGAAGGCCUCCCAGAACAUUUUUUAGAGCUUUCUUCAUGUAUUCAAUGAGAUUCACAAUAAACAAUGAAGGAUAUGAUGGAGUGAGGCAGCUCUAAAAUUCAAGCUAUAUCUAGAAAUGAAUGUUCCCACUUUUGAAGGUUCAAAAUAGUAUUAAUAAUAGCUGGAGAGUGUUCUCUCCACAAUGUUUUCGGUUUUGAGGGCAUCUUUUGAUGUAUAGGGGGGAUGUUGGAUGAUGGAGGAAUCUUUGAAGAAGAGGGGUAAGAAGAGGGGUUCUCAGCACCGAGCCACUAGUACGCUGA